rnacentral:rRNA from 1 species
UACGGAAGGCAGCAGUGGGGAAUAUUGCACAAUGGGCGCAAGCCUGAUGCAGCCAUGCCGCGUGUAUGAAGAAGGCCUUCGGGUUGUAAAGUACUUUCAGUCGUGAGGAAGGUGUUAAGGUUAAUAACCUUAGCAAUUGACGUUAGCGACAGAAGAAGCACCGGCUAACUCCGUGCCAGCAGCCGCGGUAAUACGGAGGGUGCGAGCGUUAAUCGGAAUUACUGGGCGUAAAGGGCACGCAGGCGGUUAAUUAAGUUGGAUGUGAAAUCCCCGGGCUUAACCUGGGAAUGGCAUUCAAGACUGGUUAGCUAGAGUCUUGUAGAGGGGGUAGAAUUCCAUGUGUAGCGGUGAAAUGCGUAGAGAUGUGGAGGAAUACCGGUGGCGAAGGCGGCCCCGUGGACAAAGACUGACGCUCAUGUGCGAAAGCGUGGGGAGCGAAACGAGGGAUUAGAUACC